UCCGUCCGUGCCGAAGCUAACGCAUUAAGCACCCCGCCUGGGGAGUACGGCCGCAAGGCUAAAACUCAAAGGAAUUGACGGGGCCCCGCACAAGCAGCGGAGCAUGUGGUUUAAUUCGAUGCAACGCGAAGAACCUUACCAGGGCUUGACAUGCACUGGAAAACCGUAGAAAUACGGUCCUCCUUCGGGAUCAGUGCACAGGUGGUGCAUGGCUGUCGUCAGCUCGCGUCGUGAGAUGU
rnacentral:misc_RNA from 1 species